rnacentral:rRNA from 1 species
AUACGGAGGGUGCAAGCGUUGUUCGGAAUUACUGGGCGUAAAGCGCGUGCAGGCGGUAAGGUAAGUCAGAUGUGAAAGCCCCGGGCUCAACCCGGGAAGUGCAUUUGAUACUGCCUUUCUUGAGUAUGGGAGAGGAGAGUGGAAUUCCCAGUGUAGAGGUGAAAUUCGUAGAUAUUGGGAGGAACACCCGUGGCGAAGGCGACUCUCUGGACCAAUACUGACGCUGAGACGCGAAAGCGUGGGGAGCGAACAGGAUUAGAAACCCCGGUAGUCC